UCUCACUUUCAUUCCAUGCCCUCCUGGGGUAAAGGUUUCAUUUACUCUAAUGAGGCAUACUGGAGUGCUGUCAGAGUUUGGAAGGGUUUAAUAAAGACAGAGGAGAAGCUGUCAAUGAAGAUGACAUCAUGGAAGUUUGAGAUGGAGAAUGGCACUUUUACGGCACUUGUCUUCCUCCUAGUCUUCACAUUUAAUUGUGUGAUGCCAAAUGAGAAUGAGCCUCUUUUCACAUGCUGA
rnacentral:lncRNA from 1 species